rnacentral:lncRNA from 1 species
AAAAAAAUCGGUAAAAUGCUGUUGGGCAACAAUGGGAAUUGGGAGGGCUGAUAAAUAUAGAAUAUAGAAUAAUGGAUUGUGGUUUCAAAGUCCUCCAGUUUAUUACAAUGGAAAGAAUUGCAAGCCCACUAGUUUCCACACUCACAAAGGUAUUUUUUUUUUUGUACUUUGUUUAUAUUUCUUUGUCUUUACAUACUGGAUGGUUAAUGUAUUUCCCAAAUUUCGACAUUGGGUGGAGUUGGAAAAAUUUGAAGCCCUUAAUUUGGAAAAUAGAAAUCCCUAAACGAAAAUUAUAAUUUUUGAUGGCUACAGCAACUAACCCAAUCCCUAGUUCUUCUUCGGCUCAUCACUUCGCUAGGAGUCCCAAUUCAAGGAGGGCCAGCUCAUCUCCCUGGAUUCAGAUUGUUUGUGACUAUGAUUUCAAUUAUAUCAUCUCUUCCUCUUCCAUCACUGUGGCUGUGGUUGUAAAAGAGAUUUCUCUGCAUUCUCCCACCCCACCACACGCCGGAAUUUGGGUUUGAGUUGGGCGGGGUGGAAGGA